CACUUAUUCUAUUUUUAAUUAUCUAUUCUAAUUCUCUAAUUAUCUCAAAUAAUAAUUAUUAGUUAUUCCAAUUUAAUUGGAAUUUAGCCUGAUUGUGUUUUUAUUUUUCCACAUCUCACGCAAUAAUUUUUUAAAAGUGUACAGGUUUCAUGUAGCCAGUCAUUACACAUUGAAUACAGUCGGAUUGCGACUUCGUAUUUUUAUAGCUUUCAAAACAUUCAAUGUAGUUAUCUUUAUUUGUAUCUUUGGCGUUAUCCUGUCUAUCUCUUAUAGUUUUAUUUACAGGCAAAUCUUUAGUAUUCUUUCCUUUAAUUUUAUGGUUAGAUUGUUUCCAUCUUCACUAUUUGAACUGUAAAUAGUUUGUCUUUUUAGUAAAGGUCGGUCUUGGUUUAUUUUUAAAUAAUUAUCAUUUUCUUUAUCACACGAGUCAGCUAGAUUGUCAUCGUCAUUUUCGCUAGAAGAAUUUGUUUCAUUUUGUUUUCUUUUUGUAUUUUUGGUGUCUGUAUUGGUGGUUCUUUUUUAAUAAGAAAGACACUCUUUUACAAAUGUUCAUUUCAUGUUUAACUUCAUUAUUUUGGAUCAAUGGUAUAAUCCGCGCGCGAUCAAGAUGGGAUGCGACCUUUCGGAAUUGAGAUCGAUCGAUAAAACCGAACUGUAAUCAUAAAUAAUGCCAACACAACUCAAAAUAGCUAUCCACUUUUAAGUUUAUGACAAAAUCUUAAAGAAAUUCCAACAACAAACGAAUAUUAGAUAAAUUUAUGAAAUAGCAAAAUAAAAUUCUGCCAAGUUCGUUAAGAAAGAAAUGAGAACGUUUAGAUAUAUUAUUAGCUUGGCACUUCACGACAUGUAAUAUAAUAAUAGGGUCAACUAAGACGACGACGCGACGUCGCUCGACGCAACUGGAGAGGAUUUCUUUGACCCGGGUGGGCACGUCACUUUCGCCCAGGUCGCGGACAUGUCGCUUGUGCGGGUGCGUGUUAAAAUAUAUUUUUAUGCAUUAAUUUGAGACUUAUCAGGGUAUACUGGAAAGAAAAAAAAAACAAAGAAAAGUUGCAGAGAUCAAAAUUAGAGAUAAACCUAAAAUCCCCUAAAAAAUAUCAAAAAUUGAAAAUAAGAAGACAAUGGAUCUCACGCCUCUAGUAUUAGCUCUAACUGAUUCGUAUAAAGACCAACCGAGAUCUUGGUCUCUCGACACCAAACUACUCACUCCUACCGACAUCUGUAUCUGAAAAAUUUAGCGUCAGAAACUUGAAAGGUUAUUGCCUACCGUAGAGUGGAGGUCGAGGGGGACGCAGGCCACGAUCGCGGUCGCGUUCUCCAUUGGGUCAUCCGAGGCCGUAAGUAUUAAAAUCGGUUUGUUUUUAUUUCUUGUGUAUACUUUGUAUGGUAUGGUAUGGUUAUGGGCUCCUUUUUCCGCACUUAGCCCGUAAAAAAGUCGGGCCAUUGUGCGUGACGUGCAUGCCGGCUACAAAGCAAGCCAGCCUAACUCCUUCCAGAAGCGCAGGGUCCUCCUGGUGUCUCCACAGGCUUCUCGGAGUGACCCCGGCGAAUCGAGGAUUUUUGCCCGUUGCGCAGCUACUCCUUCACAUUCCAGGAUGACGUGGUAAGCUGUUUCGUCGGCCGACAGGCAUCCCCUACAUAGGGGGCUGUCGGUCAUACCUAGAACAUAUAAAUGUUUUUUUAGUGGGCAAUGUCCAGUAAUGGUACCUACCACUAUGCGUAGGGAUGCCCUGUCCAAAGAUAAAAGGCGCUUAGUCAGACGAGGAUCCGGGUGUGGCACGGUUUCCCGGGAUUGUCUGCAUGUACUGAUACUCGCCCAUUGAUCCGCGUGUAGUUUAUGUUUUCUGUGACGCAGCCAUGUUCUCAGCUGGUAAAAGGGGAGCGACAUGAUUGGUUCGGGACCCAAUAAGGUCUGGUACGAUUCUCUUUUUGCCAGCUCGUCAGCUGCGUCAUUUCCUAGAGAGCCACUGUGCCCUUUGAUCCACUGUAGGGUAACUGAGUUAUGUUUUCCUAUACCCUCCAGUGUUUGGUAGCACUCUAGUAUGAGCCCUGAUUGAAUGGUCUUGCUAUCAAGGGCUCGUAAUACAGCAGCGCUAUCGGAUACAAUACGUAUUUUGUGGCCUAUAAGGCCCCGCUUUUCCACUGCUUUGGCUGCCUCCGUGAUGGCGACACAUUCACAUUGGUAGAUGGAACUGUGUGCGCCUAAGGCCAUUAUUAUCUUGAUGUUAAUUUCUGGUGAGAACACACCUGCCCCCGAUCGUGUCCUGGUCUUAGACCCAUCGGUGUAUAUUCGCAGUUCGUGUGUGCCAGACCAGUCAUGCUGUUCUUCGGUCAGCCUAACGGUGUUAGUUUUUUCCGAAGAUAUAUUGUUUGGGUACCCUGUCGUUGGGAGCGGCCAUCAGUGGUUUGUAGUUGAUGGCCUCUUCCAGAAUUUCGGCGUGGGCACCUAUUGCUGUACCCCAGAGGUUGAGUGUCUUUAACCUGACUGCUGCUGAGGCUGCCUCUUGUUGGAUAAACAGAUCCAGGGGCGGCAGUCCCAACAGGACAUCUAAAGCAGCUGUGGGUGUAGUUUUCAUGCAGCCCGUUAUAGCUGUACACGCUAAUCUCUGAAAUUGCUGCAGUUUGUUUCUGGCUGUGGAUGGUUUAGUUCUGGGCCACCAGACUACAGCUCCAUAGGUGGUGAUUGGUCGUACCCCCGCAGUAUAUAGCCAUCUGGCAAUUUUAGGUUGUACGCCCUAAGUUUUGCCGAGAAGUCUUUUACACUGCCAGAAUGUGAUACAGGCCUUUUCUAGUUUGUGGUCCAGAUGUUUAUUCCAUAACAGUUUAUCAUCCAAAAUAACACCUAGGUAUUUCACCUCUUUUGUAAGAGAUAACGUAGUGCCUUGUAAUUGAGGUAAGCGAAAAUUUUCUGUAGUGCGCUUUCUCGUGAACAAUACGAGUUCGAUUUUCGAUGGGUUUACCGUUAGGCCCCUUCAUGAGAUCGCAUAGGACGCCUACGAAUUUUCCCUUAAUAAGGAUCGCUACAUCGUCUGCAUAGCCUACAGUGUGGAAGCCUGCCUCGUUUAGUGACCUAAUUAGGUCAUCCACUACGAGGUUCCACAGGAGUGGCGAUAUUACUCCCCCCUGUGGACAGCCUUUCGAUACAAUGGCUCGGACUCUGCCAUUGACUGUCACCUGCACCGCUCUUUUCCUUAACAUGUUACCUAUCCAGUUGACUGUGCAUGGGUCAGCACCAUAGUUGAGCAGUGCACGGCUUAUGCUGUUAAACUGCGUCUUGUCAAAAGCUCCUUCGAUGUCAAUGAAGGCUGCAAGCGCUGAAGAUUGAGUUGAUAGUGCGCUCUCUAUUGUCGUAAUGACAUUGUGAAGCGUUGAUUCGGUUGAUUUGCCAGAGGAGUAGGCGUGUUGUUGGUGAUGUAGAGGGUGGUAAGUUAGAGCCUCAUCUCGGAGAUCUCGAUCACAUAAUCUCUCCAUUGCCUUAAGAAGGAAGGAAUGAGGCUGAUUGGUCUAUGACUCUAUACAAUUUUGGUUGUGUAUAGUCGCUCUUACCUGGUUUAGGUAUAAAUACUACUUUUACUUCUCUCCAUUUAUGGGGGGUGUAGCAGUGUAUUAGGCAUCCUCGGUAGAUCUUAACUAGAUGUGGAGCAAUUGUGCUUUUGCUCCACUGUAGAAGUCCUGGGAAGAUGCCGUCAAGACCAGCCGCUUUAUAGGCAGAGAAGCUGUUUAUUGCCCAUAGGACUUUUUCCAACGUGAUUACUCGCUGGGCAGUAGAGAUGGGGUCACUAGUUGCUUGUUUAAAUUUUUGUUGGUCCUCCUCCUCCCAUGUGGUGUUCUCCGUUACGGAGCAACCUGGAAAGUGUGUGUUAAGUAACAGCUCGCACAUUUCUGUGUCAGUUGUUGUAUAGCUGUUAUUUGGUUUCUUCAGGGAGCCUAGGUUGCGAUCUGGGUCUUUGGAUACGAUUUUUCUCACCCUAACUGCCUGUGUGUUUGAUUCGAUGUUAGUACGGAAAGUUCGCCAGCAUUCGCGCUUCCGUACCCGGAUGCAUUUCUUGUAUGCUGCCUGGGUUGCCUUGUACGCAUCCCAGUCUUCUGCUUUCCUUGUGUUUUUUGCUCUUUUAAACAGUUUGCGUAGUUUGCAUCUCAAUUUCUCGAGUUGAGGACUCCACCAGCCGCUGCGAUUGGCAGUCCUCGGAGUGUGUCCCGUGAGCGGACAGCUUUUUUGAAAUGCGUCUAUUAGUGUUUCUGUCAGUUUAUUUACGUGUUUCUCUAUGUCAGCCGGCCCGCAAUAUUCCUCGGGGACGUGUUUGAGGUUCGGGCUUGCUGACACCAGUUUUCCGAACCAUACGCUAUCAGUUAUUUUAGGGUUGCGCCAAGGUUCGGGCUUCUUAGUGUCCACGUUCAGUUUGUAUCUUAUCCAUCUGUGAUCCGAGUUGGAUAGUUCGUUAGAUACCUGCCAAUCUGAUAUUUUUUCCGAAAUAUUAUCCGUUGACAGUGUUAUGUCUAUAAUAGUUUGGUAUCUGGAAGUUACAAAGGUGGGUUCGGACCCUCUGUUUAUAAGCCUAAGAUUAGUGGAGAAUAAAAAUUCAACCAAGUCAUCACCACUUUUAUUGGAAGCGCCGCUGCCCCAGAUAGUAUGAUGAGCGUUCGCGUCCGCCGAGAUGAUCAGCUAUGCUAUUCUGUAACAUCUCACAGUAUUACUCACUUCUGAAUCCGCGGUGAAAACGCUACUUGGAAGUCUCAACACGAGUGAAAUCUACUACUAACGUUACAAGGUGAAAAUGACGGUGAGGUGAACUAUUUUUAAGUGAGAUCUUACUUAUUUGACGUUAAACGGUAUUCGGCAGCAAAGAUUUCGAUAGUCACUUUAGAAUUUAAAUGUCAAAUCAAAAGUUAAUCAUUUGCUAGCGAAAAGAAAAGUGAGAACUAUAUAAAUUGUGAUUAAGGUAUUUUAAAAAGAAUUUAAAUAAGUUAUUUCCUUAAAAUGUAAGUGAAAUUAUUGAAUACGUCUAUAAAAAGAUAACACGCACUAUAUUUUUAAAAUUUUACAUUUAUUAACUUUGUAGAUGGCUCGAUCAUUUCUUUUGUUAAGUAUGUUGAAAGAAGCCCACGAAUUAGAAGUGAGUACCAGCCGUCGCCAAGCUCAAAUUAUCAGAAAUUUACCACUUGUAAAUCGCGAUGACGAAUUUGUGCACAUCUAUAGACUAACGGAGGAUUUAAUUAAAGGUUUAGAAAAUGAACUAAGUCCUUUGUUAAACACAACUAAGCGUCACGGGAAAGGACUUACAAUAAGGUGCAAGAUCCUUUGCACAUUAUCGUUUUUGGCGAACGGCAGUUACCAAAAAAUAUUAGGGAGAAAUACCUAGUCUUGCCAUAAAUAUUGUAAUAAA